UAUGAACUUGACUCUGUUUCACACUGAGAAGUGCUGAGCUCCUCCCUUACUACUGACUUACUUAUGCCCUAAAAAUGUAAUUAAAACGUUCAGGUUGCCCUAAAUGAGGGGUUGAACAGGAAUACCGAGUAUGGGAGCACCGGGAGGAACAAAAGGCAGGAGAAGGGGACAAGAAUGACAUCUGAUGAUGGCAUCUGGACCAGCAGGUCACCAGGGUUGCAUGAGCUGUCCACCCGUGUGGAACGUGGAAGAAAUGAGACGUGAGGAUGAACACCCCUUGUCCUCCAGCUCAUCCUGAGAUGGGACAAAGCAAUGGACGCAAGCACUUUGGCAUUUGAAGCCACCUGCGUGGUCCACGCGAACGCCUCGGCCUGGCUGCGGACGCGGGGACUCAGAGCAGAAUGAAAUCCUUGCCCAGGAUGGUUGUUGGAGGCAGCGCCGGCUCCCAGCGCCGCUCGGGGAAGACUUAAUGAAAAGCAGCUCAUCAAGCAGUUACGUAACCUAAUGAUAAUCCGGCUCAGGCCAGGCAAUACUUAAAGCCACAGAGUCUCUCUACCGUGACCUAUUUUACGCUGGAUGCGAGGGCAAAAGUGUGCGGUUUGUAACUUCGCGGCGUCUGUUACCGCCGAGUUAUUCGCCGUGGGUAGAAAAGCCCCCGGCGCGUGUUUCUUCUGCUUUCCUGGCUGCAAAGUGACCGCGUCGCAUCUGCCGGUGGCUUUUUACGGUGUCGGCGCCAAGCGCGGGCACGGCGGAGAGCACGUUGUAAACAGUUCAAAGGAAAACACUUCAUGUCCCGCAGGAAACUCCGCGGACUUUAAUUUGAGCUUCAGAAGCUGCGGAGAGUGCGGGGGUAGGUUGCAAAGCGCUUCUGAUGCUGCGUUGAAGCGGAGAGAAAGCUUUUGUGUUGUUAUUAGACCUCAGAGAGCAAAACCGUGUGCUUCCACAAUUCCAGGGUCAUAUUUACAUUUGACUGAAGGAAUUCCUUAGGUUGGCCCUGCUGUAACUCAUACUUGUACGACUGUGAUCAUGUACUUUUUUACCUCUCAAUCUGCGCAAGUAUCAAGAAGAGAUUAAAUGCAGAGAUGUUGAUUCAGAUCUCAGCAUUUAAUCUGCCCACAGAUGGUGUCAAAAGAGGGACAGCCAUGCGAAAUUGCAACAGAUUUAUUAUAUUUUUCCCUAAACAAUCGCUUUUUUUGGGUGAAUAAAGCUAGAGAACAAGUGGCCCCAUUUAAAAUACAGAGGAAACCUCCGUUUCCUACAGUGCCUCUGCUUUGAAGCAAUAUUAAUGGGCUGAUUUCUGUUAAUGAUUAAUAAUGCGUUUAUGUACUUAACCGAAGUUAUUGUGACUAUUAUUAACUCCUGUCUUUCAUAGGAUAAUUAUUUCAUUUCUUAUAACACCGGACGACUUAAUGACAGCGCUGGUUGCAAAAAGGAGGUUGUAGUGUAGAUAUACUCAUUUUUGGUGAUACUUAUGCUUAUACAGAAUCCUGUUGUUCCCAAAUCAGUGCUAAAAAGCUUUGUAUUUCCUACCACAAGGAAUACCAGGUUUCCUGCCAGGCUCAACACUUAGUGCCACUGGAUUCUCAGAGCAGAUUGUGUGGAUCUGCUGAUCUCUUAUGGGUUGAAAAGUUCCUCAAGCUAACGCGUAGUUUUUGUAUUUUAAUUCCCUACAUUAGCCAGUUGAAGGUGGGAAAUCACUUGGAAAAAGAUGUACAAAAUUUCCUGUCGGUGGAAAUAUUUCCUGACAUUUAAAAGGAAAAAUAAUAAUGGAAAGAAAACUGUGGUGAUGGUGUUUGUUGGGUUUUGAAACGUCUUCCUGUGGAGCCUGCGACCCAAACGCUGCUGCAUUGUCCUGGCCUUUGAGAAACAGAAAGUGGAACUAAAUGGAGAUUAUUAAAAUAGUCUGGCUGAUUAUAAACUCUAAA